rnacentral:lncRNA from 1 species
UGCUGGGGCACCUGGUCAGGAGCAAGUCGAGUGACGCUGAUAAUCUGAGCCAGUGCAGCUCGGCGUACCAGUGCGAGAAGGCUGCAAGCUCAUAUUCUGGUGAUGAAGGCAACUCGGGCAAUGCUAUCGCUAGGAGGCAGUACUCUCAGUAUCCAACUGUCUCCGCGUCUCCGUUGGUUGGUCUCCCCGAGUUUUCGCACCUAGGAUGGGGCCAUUGGUUUACUCUCAGGGAUUUGGAGCAUGCGACGAGUCGGUUCUCUAAGGAGAAUGUCAUUGGGGAAGGUGGAUAUGGCAUUGUUUACCGGGGUCGACUCAUUAAUGGGACUGAUGUUGCAAUUAAAAAGCUUCUUAAUAACAUGUAAGAAGCUAUGAUGAUUGUUUGUUUUACCUCAAAGAUGACUUUCGUAUAGAACCUGAAAUAUUAGUCUGCCUUCUUUUUAUGGUCUCAGCAUUUUGAUAGUGUUUGGUAUGUCACUGUAGGGGUCAGGCAGAAAAGGAGUUCAGGGUUGAAGUUGAGGCAAUUGGGCAUGUCAGGCAUAAGAAUCUGGUCCGCCUUCUAGGAUAUUGCGUCGAGGGUAUCCACAGGUGAAGUUAAUUCCCGAUCAAAUACGCUAACUGUUUGCUACCUGUUGUCUCUGCUACCAUAUAUAUGUACUUGAUAAAAUCUUAAAGCUCCAACGCUUACAAAAUCUAGCACUUGACCACACUUUGAGAAGGUGUGCUUGGUGCAUUCAUUCAACUGUAACCUUGCACUUGCAGCCUUGAGAAUUUUAUCCGAUGAUGAUAAUAAUCAUUGUUAUGAUUUUCCUAGCUUGCAACAAGCCCUCAUUUCAUUUUGCUUGACUGUUUUCUUUUUGUUCAAUACCAUAUUAAAUAGGUUAUGGCGUAUGACCAGCCUUUUUAGGACCCAGUAGAAGUGUAUGUCUGUUAUUGAUCCAUCACUUGGACAGUUUCGAACUGUACUUAAAACUUACCUCUAUCAUUCAUCAAUUUGUGUUGCUCUUUGUCUUUACAUAUCUGCUUGUGCAUUUAUUUAUUGUGUGAAACUUGUAUGAUAGCUGUUAUAGUUUGACACAACAUGGUAACAAAUUAUAUUCUUUUACUGGCGGGAAGCGUUUUAUGAUGGUUGACUGAAAUCCCAAAAUGUUUUGUGUCCCAUUCUUCAGAUAUAUCGUUGCUCGCGGUGCUUCGGGAGGAAUACAAUAGUCUUUGGCAUUCACAAGCCUUGUAGUCUAUCCAUGUGGCACAGGCCUGUUUGGUUGGUGGCGUGGCCUGGGGCACUUGCCCAGGCAUGUCGAUCCAGCCGCAGGGCACUCAAAAUUGAUGGCAUAGGGAGCUUCCUUGCCAGCCAGUCUCUGAACCAAACGGGCCCUACAUCCAUAAAACUAGGUGUGGUGUCAACAGUCCUUAAUCAGGAGCCAAAUAGCCAUGAGACAUCGUCAUAUUAUACCUCUAGAAGCUCUUGCUCGCCAAAUUUUGUGUUGAUGUCUGAUAUAAAGCUAACAAUAACUGUGCUUAAUGAGAUAUUAAGUCCUCAGGACUUCAAUUAACAACAUAAAUAGGUUAUCUUCUAAAGAUAAACAGUGUCUAGUUAAGAUGUGUGCCUCACUGCCAGAUUUUAGAUUGAUCAUUUAAAAGUUCACUGUUCUACUUCUACCUGCUACCACAUGUUACAAGGAUUUUUACAACUGAAGUUGUGACAUAAUGAUUUCUAUGUUUUGAAGAAAAUUGUCACUUGGCACCCCAGAUAUGCAUUUUUGUUUUUACUUGCCUGAAUAAAUGAAUAUGAAUGUCCCACCUCUUGAGAAAAGGAAAAUAAAGUUUUAUGUUAGUAAUCUUAAAAUUGUUGUAAACCACAAUGGUGUUUCUUUUUCCAUUUGAUCCCUGUUUUUUUGGUAGUUUGGUUUGGUUGCUAGCUGAUAGUUCAUCGGUGUUUUGGUUGUGUGCGUUAGGAGUGGGUCAUCUCUUUCUUAAUGAAAUGAUAUGCAGCUCUCCUGUGUGUUUGUCUGUUCGAGAGAGAAAAAUAUCUGAAUUGCAGAGAGCUGAGUUAUGCUCAUUUAACUUUCUACCUCACUGCUUAGUGCUGGCCCACUGAUUCAAUGAAACCUUGGCAAUUAGAUAUUUUGUGAGGUGAUGCUAUUAGAGCCUUUUUGCUUUCUCCAUUUAGGUUCAGCCUGGUUGAACAUUUAAAGUGGUGUACGGAUACCAUUUAAAUCUAUAUGCUUCAUACAUCAUAUGGUUAUUUAAUCCAUUUGAGCAUUCUCCUAAUCAUACCAUGUUAUUCCAGGAUGCUUGUGUAUGAGUAUGUGAAUAAUGGGAACUUAGAACAGUGGCUUCAUGGUGCAAUGCGUCAGCACGGUGUUCUUACUUGGGAGGCCCGGAUGAAAGUCAUUCUUGGAAUUGCCAAGGCGUAAGAAAUGACCCAUUCAUCAUUUUGCAUCUUUUAUAUGCAUAUGUUUAUUAAUGUAAGAUGUUUUCUGUAACUGAACAAAAUACAGGCUUGCUUAUUUACAUGAAGCCAUAGAACCAAAAGUUGUACACCGUGAUAUCAAAUCGAGCAAUAUUUUAAUUGAUGAAGAAUUCAAUGGCAAGCUUUCUGAUUUUGGAUUGGCCAAGCUCUUGGGUGCUGGGAAGAGCCAUAUCACAACUCGAGUUAUGGGAACAUUUGGGUAUGGUUUUUUUUUUGCAUGUUUUUCUUUAUGGGAACAUUUCUGAAGUAUGAAUUUUCUUCACUAACUGGAACUUGUGGUCUUCACAUGCAGUAGGGGGUUUACAUAUUGAGAGCUUUGCUUCCCAUUUUUUAAGAACUAGCUCUGUAGAGCUCCGUAUGGAAACAACCACUCAUCUUUUUAUUUCACUACUGUUUCAGGUAUGUGGCUCCUGAGUAUGCCAAUACUGGUCUGUUAAAUGAGAAGAGCGAUGUCUACAGUUUUGGGGUGCUACUACUGGAAGCAGUGACUGGGAGGGAUCCAGUUGACUAUGGUCGGCCUGCUAAUGAGGUGAGCAUCUGCUAUUGUCUCAUGCAUAUGCUUAGCAAGAAGUCCAUAGUCCAUACUAGUUGCCAUUUGUUUCAAAGCAAAACAGGUCUACCUGGUAGGAGGGACAAUAUGCUUCAGGUGUUUAUGCCUAGUAACCCUUAUGGCAAUAGUACUUCUAAAUUUAUGCUUGUAGCUGUGUCAGGUCUGAAUGUUGAUCAGCCACAAGCCUAACAUGGUGGCUGUGCAGGUUCAUCUGGUGGAGUGGCUGAAAAUGAUGGUUGGCACUAGAAGAGCGGAGGAGGUAGUGGAUCCCGACAUGGAGUUGAAACCAGCGAUUCGUGCUCUGAAGCGCGCACUUCUAGUGGCACUGAGGUGUGUGGACCCAGAUGCUGAGAAAAGGCCCACUAUGGGUCAGGUUGUUCGGAUGCUCGAGGCAGAAGACGUCCCAUCACGGGAGGUUUGUACAUCCUGAGCUUUGUUCCGUCAAUACAACUACUCUGUAAUUCCCUGUGCAGUAGUUCUAAAUCUUGUGUUGUGAUCCUCUGAAGGACCGCCGGAGCCGGAGGGGCCACAGCAACAACGCAGACAGCGAGUCCAAGGCAAGCUCAAGCGAGUUUGAGAUAAGCAGUGAUCGAAGAGAGUUAGGACCGUCAUCGAGGUUCCAGCCCUAACUCCCUGUCAGAGAGCACAGCAGAUCACCAGGUUCAAGAACUCGGUUUCAGUUCAGUUCGCCGGGUUGUCUCUUGCUGGCUCGCUCAUGCAUUCAGUGGGCCGUUCGAAAGAUUGACCUAUUUGUGAAUCCGCGCUGGUUUUCACACUGGCGGGGCUUUGGAUGGUGGUAAUGGUUGUUGGUACUGGCUUUGGAUGGUGGGCAUUGGUUGGUACUUGUUAGAGAUAUAGGAAGGACAUGGACAUUGCAUUUUGUACUGUAGGUAUUACCUUUCCUUGGUGGUAGCCAGCGUAGAGGGCAGAGUUGGAUCGAUUCCCUGGGAGAUUGAGACUUGUCGUGGUUCCUAUUCGUGUUCUGUUUGUCUAGCAGCUUGUACAGAAACUUUAUUAUUGUCUGGUUCUUGGUUAGGAUUCAUGGCGAGUAGAAAAGAUAGUCGGCUCUUUCCUGAUGUGAUCAGUGGCUUGAAGGUUGAAGCGUCAACCUUUUCGUAUCCGGUAUUCAUUUCCAAUGGAAUCUAUGCUGUUCAUUUAUGUGAAAUUUCUGUAAAAAUCGAAGCAGACUGAAUGAAUUACUGGCUUCUAGUGCACGUGCUGACACUGGCAGAAAUGAGAGCAGGUUUUGCACUUACUGAACGUCACCGGAACUCCAAUCCGGCCGCUAAUGGCGCACGGCGGCGCGGCGUUGCGUCCGCCACGGGCGCCUGCCUUUUCCGUGGCCUGCGGCGUAGCGUAGGCUUGGGCCUGAUUCUUUUACUGGCGGGCUGGCCAAGUUUAGAGAUCCCUUGGGUGGGGCCCAUAUGAAGUACCACCAAUCCACGAUUCUGCCAUCUAUCCACCGUCUCCUCGUCUUGUCCCGUCUCCUCGCAGGCUCGCACAACCCAGUCCCAUCUGCGCGCCUUGAAUUGGUUCAAACAUUUGUGGUUGCCUGCCUAUUCAUUCGUCCACGUUUUAUUUCUCAAAAAAUCAUAUUUUUUUAAGUUUGAUUAAAAACAUAUCAAAUAAUACUAAUAUUUAUAUCUGCAAAUAAGUAUAUUAUAAAAGUAUAUUUCAUGCUUAACUUAAUGGUAUAUAUUACUAUAUUUUUUGUAUUUAUUUAGUUAAAUUUUAAAAAGUUUAACUCUCGAGAAACGAUAUGUGUAUUUAUAGAUAGAGGGAGUACACUGAUCUCGCAGGCAAACAAACACGGUCCUAUUCGCUUAUUUUAUAAGUCAUUUUAUUUUAGUAAAUAAACAAUGUUUUUCUCUCAAAAAAAAAAAUAGCCAAUAAUACUUUCCAUGGCUUUUGAGCAAAAACAAGGACGGCCAAGGCAAACAACACAGAUCGAUAAAAGGAAGUGCUGCAGCGCCUCAUUUUCGGCAGCUAGGGGUGCUGCUCCAUCUGAUCAGCUAAUACUGUAAGCUGCUGCCAACACUUACACCACCACCCUGGUGACGGGGUUUAGUUACUCAAUUAGGCCCUGUUUAAAUCUUAUAUGAGACUACCAGUUCGUCUUAAUUUGUAUGGUGCCAGUUCAAAUGGCUAUGACAGUAGAGAUGAGAAACCCGCCCACGGUGCCAUUCAAACACCCUUGCAUUGCAUCGUGUUCCAUUAAUUAAUCAAUACCCAUGUGCCAAUGCCUACUCCCCGUACAGCAACAGCAUGCACGACCUCAACUGCCUCGUGUUCCAUCAUUCAGUAUCUUUUCACCUCGUCAUUAGGUCGUUCAAAGCUACAUUUUCAAUACAGUCGUAACCAAACGGCGAAACAGUUCCAUGGCAAAAUAAGACCGGUUCUUGUCAAGACAGUAGUGACCGGACAACCAGGAGAACAAUCACAGGUACCAUCGGCAUGGUGUGAGUCAAGAACCUGACGCACGUAAAUGGACUUUGGAACAGCAUAGCUUCCGCAAGUCGACAACCGUUAUACAAUAGAUUGGUCCACAUCAGUGCAGUUUAUGACAGUGGUUGACAAAAAAUUAAAACACAUACUCCAUUUCACAACGCUACCUUUUGUUACCUGCAUUCCUUGGCCUUGUUUAGUUCCGAAAAUUUUUUGGUUUUUAGAACGGUAGCACUUUCGUUUUUAUUUGACAAACAUUGUUUAAUUAUGGAAUAACUAAGCUUAAAAGAUUUAUCUCGCGAUUUACAGGUAAACUGUGCAAUUAGUUUUUAUUUUUGUCUAUAUUUAGUGCUUCAUGCAUAUGCCGCAAGAUUCGAUGUGACGAGGAAUUUUGAAAAGUUUUUGGAUUUUGGGGUGAACUAAACAAGGCCCUUCAUAUUUUACAACACAUAUUUGACUUCAGCAAUUUAAUCUCUCGCCUAACAACACUUACUUAAAUAUUCAGUUAAUCAAAGCGACAAAGGCUAAUGCUUAGAUCUCAUGGUCUAAAGUUUAGUUGGGUAAAGUUAAGAGCUAAACUUUAGACCACUUUAGCGUAUUUGUAUGGUCUAAUGAGCUAAUGAUCUUUUUUUUUUUUGGUGAGAUUGGCUAAAUUUUAGACUGUGAUACAAACAGAGCCAUAGUAUCAAUGGAUUUACCGUUGCAAGUACUUUAAGAACAUCAAAAAGUAUGCUAAACAAGUCACUUAUUCCUAGCCAUUUGCAUAGAUAUUCACAGAGUAGGUGAAUGGUUAAACAUUGAAUAGUAAAGUCAAAGCCAUGAAUUAUUCUAGACUGGCACCCUUACUUGGAUAUUUCUUUUCUCCAUGCCUACAAUGAUUCUCCGGCUCUAUGUUUAGUUGAGAUAGCGUGGAAGGGCAUUAAAUAUCUCAGUGCAUGUCAAAAAAAAUUUAUUCAGGAAAAUGACGAAUACUCGAACACUCGCACCAAAUGACGAGUUCUACAAACUAUUCCAACAAAACUAGGCAAGCGAGUAAAUCUUUUGCUGACAUCCAAGGGUAUGCAUUUGUUAGGAUAUAAACUUAAGUUCAAAAUUUAACUGCCCAAGAGUGCAUGUGUUAGGAUAAGAUUACUCGACAGUGACACCAUGCUUUAAUAUAAAUAUAAGGAAUUGCAUAAAUAUAAAUAAUUCAUCAUUACCAUAAAGUAUUACUAUGCCCAAUGUCCAGUGAUCACAAUUACUCCUCUGUUGCGUAGUACUGAGGGGCGAGCUCAGCCAGCCACAAGGGGUCAAUACGGGUCAGGUUCUUGACAUAGUUCUGUGUCGUCCGAACUAGCUCGUUGAAGAUGACACAGUCGGGCUUGGUCCUGAAAAGCACGGAUGAAGGGUGGAUCUGCACGCUCUGGCCAGUUGCAAGGGCCCUGCCAAACAACAGCUUAAACAUUAAAUAAGAUGGGGAGAAUCGUAGUCAUCAUCACAAUCUUAACAUGCAGCAUUCUUCAAGUUUUGGCUGGUGUAAGAUAUCAAAGUCCCAGAUUAGUUUAGGACAUUGGGUUUGAAACUAUAUAAUAUGGAAUGAUACCUGUAUGAUCCAUCUGGCUGUCGCAUCGCUGCAUUCAAGAAGAAGGCAGACGUAAGGCAUCUCCGAAAUAGAACCAUGUCAUCUCCACAUGAUGACAGGUUCAGACCCAUUUGUUGUGCAUGGCCCUGAAUUUGACUGCAAAGAACAGAAAAUUGCUGUCAAAUUGCAAGCAUAAAUGGUAUUAAAAAAUCGUACAGUCUGAUUUUCAUUUUUUUACAGUCCUAAAAGUAAAAAAACGUACAGUCUUCCAUUCAUUUUUUAAAUAAAUGAUAUUCAGAUCUGAUUUUUAUAGCUCAAUCCCUCCAAUCAUAAAAAAACAAACUACCCUCCCCUUGUUUUGCAAUUCACUGUUUCAUAUGUGCAGGCAGGAUGAGGAUAGGCUCACCUACACAUCUGAAAACUUAAAACAAAAAAGAACUUUGCACAUUUCUUAAAUUUAUGGAAAGAAAAUGCAUAUAUGUAAAUCAUGUAUAAUUAAUGUUGACACAAAAUUUGAUGGCAAAAUUGACCAUAUGCCUAAUGUGGAAAAAGGUAUUCUGUCUUUUUGUACAGCUCACAUAUGAUCAAGUUUAUCAUUUUUUUGUCAACUAAAAUGAUAAUUAUUUUGUCUUUUUGUGCAGCUCACACAUGGUCAAGUUUUUCCAUCAAAACUCUGUCAACACUGUCCACGACCUAAAAUAUACAGUUGUGUAUUGAAAAUGGGGUGUAUGUACACACAAAAAAGACAACUUAUCUUUUCCCCUCUUUUGCAAUGCUUUGCCUACUUCAUUAGAACAUUGGCAGGUGUGCUUAAUUACUUAUUACGACACUUUAACUCCCUACACUUAAAAUAGUGUUUAUGUACGGGUACUGUGAAACAGAUGGAGCAGAAACUAGAAACUAACCUGUGAACAUCGCGAGCAUGUCUUAGAGAGCGGUAGUUGAUAAAGUUUUCCCUGCACCACCUGUUCAAAGCCUUCUCCAUUGUUUUUUCUUUGGCAUUUGCAUUUCUGCUCUUCUCCAAGCAUUCUGCAGCUGCUCGAUAGACAUUCACCAAUGUGAUAUGGUCUCCUUCGGCGCUUUCAAAACCCUUCCUGGCAGCUCUUGCCUAUAGAACAACAAAGUAAAUGGGUCAAUUAUUGCACUACCCCAACUUGCUUGGGACUAAAUUAUUGCACAGAAGCGAGUAACACACUGAUGUAUUACUCAUCACAAAACACAUGAGUUUCUUUAUCUUGUGUCUGACAGGGAAAGGGUAGCACAAAGGAAAUGUGAGCAAAAACAGAUUGAAACAUGUUGGAGUAUGUGUGUAUUAGGCCCAUGAGGCCCAUGUAUGGCAGGCUAUACAGCUACCCUUCUAGGGUUAGCCCAGGUAUGUGAAUCAGAAUUUCUAGCAUGGUAUUUAUCAUUAAGCAAAUGGUAAAUCAUGAUUUAGGUCUAAAGGUAUUUUUUAGCCUAACAACAAAGAUCAUCAUUUUUCAUGUACGCCUUGUAAUAAAUUCAAUGUACUAAUUUUUUUUCACAUGACUAAUCUAAAUGGCUGUUCACGUAUUAGCGGUCAAAGUUAAGUUUGAUUGCUCAAAUUCUAGAAUGCUAUAUGAUAUAGAUUUCUGAAUGGAGUAUUUCUUAUAUAGUUUGCCUACUGGCACUUAUCUCCCAGCUCCCACUACACAGGAGCAUUUUACAGAAGUGUGCCCGAAACUACAAAACAACACCUGUUUGCAAAGCAAACACAACCCCCUAAAAUAAGUGAACCAGAGGGAAUAACUCCACAAUAUCAGAUAAGAACUUAAUUGUGCCAUACACUUUACAGACUGUCAGUAAUUCAAAAGGAUACCUCUUCUAACUUCUCACGCACAGAGAAGAAAAUUGAUUCCACUGAAAGCAUAGAUACAACAAUGAGCAUUUCUUCCAAGCACUUGAAUUUGCUGGCUACUAUUAAUGCCUUGGAGUACAUUGGAUCCAAAGGCAGCCUAGCCAUCUGAUGACCAACUGGAUCUGAGAGCUUAUAAUCAUCAGUCAGAGCCCCUAGUAAGAUUAACUGCUCCAGUGAUUUCAAAAUAGCAGUCCUGUAGUAGGUUGGACACCAAUAAGCAAAAACUCAGCACUGAUAUAAAGCAAGAAGCUAUUUAACUUAUAAUUACUACGAAGCCUCUAGGUAAAAACUUCUGCUUGUUUGUUUCUAUUAGGUGUUACCACUGCAGGAGCGCAGAUCAUAAGGUUCGUAAAGGAGUCUAGGUAAGGGGUUUUCUUUACCUAUAAAGUUAAAGCUGGGGUACAUGUGACAAGCAAUAAAAUACAUCAAAUACAAUAAGAUAAAUUGCAUCCUCUCAUCACCCUGGAGACAUAGUCCAGUAUAAAAUUCAAGCACAAAAGCACACAGAAUAAAAAUGAUUCUGAGCAUUUCCUUUUACAUAGAAGAAGACUUGAAAAAAUUACCUUGAUGGUUUCUCCAUAAAAUCGAAACCUAUGAUGUCAUCAAUUCCAAGAGCCUUGAGUUGCAGAACAACAUUUGAGAGGUUACACCGCUUGAUCUCAGGCACAGUAGAAUCCACCAGUUUAUCAAACUCACUUUCUUGGAACAAUCGGAAGCACUUCCCUGGUCCCUCGCGUCCAGCACGACCACUGAGGGUAGAAUGAGGAUGUUAGAAAGGCAUGCAAUAAAAAAGGGACAAGCAUUGAUUUAUUUGGUUGAAUAUCCACAAAGUGCCCAUAUGACUUAUUAGCAGAAACAUAUGCAACAGAUAUAAGGAAUAAGAUACAAACACUCAGUCAUCAUAUGGAGAUUCAUUCUACCACUACCAUGCUAGCAUGCUGAGAACCACUCCUUAAUAGACUGCAUGAACUCUUUGUGACCUCAUUUAGACAUGAAAAAAAAAAGCAAGAUAUACAUAUACCUCCUUUGAAGAGCCUGCGCUUUAGAGACUGGGAUGAUGAUUAGUGAUUCCAUUCCAGUCACAGGAUUGUAAGCACGAGCUUUUACCAUCCCAGGAUCUAUAACAUAUUUGAUGCCAGGUAUUGUUACUGAAGUCUCAGCAAUAUUUGUAGCUAGAACUACCUAGCAGAGGCAAAUCAGAAAAAAAAACUCAAACUUGCUUAACAGACUCUGGUGUGGGACUUUCAAGAGUAAGUGCAACACUGAAAAUGGUUACAAAGGAUGAAAGGAAAACAAAAUACUAAAUGAAUCUUGGACAAGAUUGAAUCUGCAUGGGAAGAACAAUAGAACACGAAAACAGAUCUGUCUUUAUUAAAAGUAUAAUUCUAGUCACAAACACCAAUAUCCAUGAACAGUAGCCUAAACAAUGGUAAAAAUGUUCAUCUGCACCUAAUAUUGUGGCCUUUGUGAAAGCACAAGCCUAGAAUGAGCAGAAUUCUGGUUCAAAUUGCGAUCAAGAAGAUGAGUCAAUACAGCAUCUCCUAACAACAUGUGUAGUGGCAAGAGAAUUCUGGUUCAGAUUGUUUGCUCGAAUAGGUCUAGCUGGUUGUGUUCCUAGACAGAAUGAAGGUAACUUUGCCAACUGGUGGCGCAAGACAAUGAAAAGGGUGGAGAAAGAGCAUAGAAGGGGAGUGAAUUCCCUAAUAAUCUUGGAAGCUUGGAUUAUCCGGAAGCAUAGAAAUGCAUGUGUCUUUGAGGGUGCUGCACCUUCGGUAACGUCAAUUAUAAGGGAAUUCAAAGACGAACAUAGUCUCUGGUGCCUAGCCGGAGCUAAGAAGAUGCAGGGUUUAGAGCUUGGUGGUAGAAUUUAGUUUUCUUGGUCGGGUCGUGUUGUUUUUUGGCACAAGUUUUUCGUCUUUAUUUUGAUGCUCAAACCACCUCUCAUAUUUGGUCCCAUAUGAGAUAAGUGAGCUGUAUGGGGACCAUUUUCUUCUCUAAUACAAUGAAGUGCAGCUCUCCUGCGUUUUCCAAAAAAAAAGAGCAGAAUGAUUUGCCCAUUGCUCUGUGACUGUUCUUAUACAACGGUGAGUGUACAUGUAAGGAGAAGAAUUAAAAUGUUAGUGUCCUCUAGUCUAGCCUAUAAUGGCUGAGAUAAGAGGACUAGUAUGGCUGGGAUAUUGACAUUCUAACACUUUGGUUCACAGUGACCAUAAAGUGUGCUCUUUUCACAUUUAUUAGAGGCACGUAAAAUGAUCAAAUGACAGUUAAUACGGUUUUCCUUUUAGUUGAUCUUGGUUACAACAAUGUUUACCCAGAGGACCAACAAUAGCAAGAUCAAUUCUGUAUUUCACUAGAUAACGGCAAGAUCAAUCCUGUACUCGGGGUUUUCCUACCCCUUCCUCUUCUUUUAAAUACAAAAGAUACACAGCUCUCCUGUGUGUUUGAGAAAAAAAAAUGGCAUUUAACAAAUGGCCACAGAGCUAGUUUAGCGGUAUCGCGUUAGCACUAAAGGAACCUGUAGACAUUUUUGGAAUUAUAUGAAACACGUGUUGAGCUUUGUUUAAAGCCUGCAAAGGAUUUUGAGACAUACUACCAAUAUAUGGACAUUACUAAGUACUAACCAUCUGGUUCAUUAUAAAGGGGCGCAAUUUUUCACAUAUACAGAUGACAACUAAUUAACUGCAGGAAGAUGAAACAAUUGACCUUAAUCUCCAUGUAACAAGAAGGUUUGAUCAACUAGGAAAACAAACCAAACUAAAAGCAUGUACACAAUUCCUUACAAAAAAUGAUUGAGUAAUCCAUGAUACUCCCUCUGAUUCCAUAUACUGACCAUUUUAGACUUGUGAAUAAUGAUUUAAGGAAGAGGAUCAAACAACCUUGGCGACCUUCAUUUAUACUGGAAGAUGGCUUAUUCAUUUGCGAGAGAGAGUGACAUUUAUUAAGCAGGGGAAACGAGGGCAGCAAAGGGUAAAAGUGUAUAUUAGUUCUAGGAUGACUUGUAUUUAGAGAAUAUUGAGAAGGCUAAAAUGACCUACACUUGGAAUCUGAGGUAGUAUAUAAAAAGAGAAAUGGAGGUAUGCAAUUGUUUUAAGAAGGAAUCCUAUUGAAACAUGACGAAUUCAGUCCCAUCAGUACCCAAUUGAUGUUUACCUUGCGGGUUCCAGCUGGUGCUGGCUUGAAAGCAUUCAUUUGCUGUUCUGAUGGGAGAGAUGAAUAGAUAGGUGUAACCCAUAUCUUACUACUUUCUGGUGGAAAUAAACGAGCACGCUCAUGAAUAAGUCUCUCCAGUGAUUCAAUCUCCUCUUGGCCUGUCAGAAAUGCGAGAAUGUCUCCAGGCCCUUCCUCCAAAUGGAUCUAUCAAAUCAAACAUCUAAAAGUGAAGUUUAUACAGAAAAUGGAGGGUGCACUGAGUCACAGUUGGAUAGUAAUUAGUCAUCAUUACAAUUCUAUAUAUUCACUCAUCAUGUUUUCUGAAGCAUUUUUUUCAUUUCUUUCUGAAGUCCCAUUUAUGUAGAAUUUUAUUUUCUUUCUUUGUCUGUAAGCCAACUACAGAUUGCAUGGAGCAAAGGAUGAUGCUCACCUGAAAGAUAGUAACUAGUGUGGCAUCCAUAUAAUCAGACUCAGGCUGAUAAGUAUAUAGUAUGUCGACCGGAUAUUGCCGACCUUGAAUAUGUACAGCUUUAGCACCACCAAAAUAAUCAGAAAAACACUUAGCAUCCAAACUAGCAGACAUAAUUAUCAGCUUUAGAGGAGCACAUCUUAUUCCUUGGCAUUCCUUAAGAGUUAAAUUUUGAGAAUGGCCCUGUACAUCAGGCAAAGUCUUCCCAUUUUUAUUGGCAUUAGCUCGGGAAUGUUGCACUUUUUUCAACAAACCCAACAAGACAUCGGUAUGAACAGUUCUUUCAUGAGCCUCAUCGACAACUAUAACACUGUACUUAGACAAGAGUGGAUCCAAAAGUGCUUCCCUGAAAAUUCGAAGUAAUCUUUCAAUUAGAAAAAGGAACUUCAUGCAUCAAACAAAAGAAAUAAAUGUAGAUUUACCCAUGACGGACCAUUGCUAUUAGUAUGUAAAAUGAUAUGAUAGAAUUGAAUGGAAAAAUCACUUUAGAAGGUUUAAACAAACUCAGAUAAAAAAUCCACAAUGUGCUAAACAUUUCAAAGCAGGUGUAUGGACAGCUACCAUGUCAAGACGCUAAAAUAUAAGAGGUGCUUGAAAGUACAAAUAAAAGGAACACUAUGAGAGAAAUGGAAUUAUGUAUCAAUCCUUCUGUUCUUGAGUUCCUACUUCCUAAAACAGCUAUAUAUAUGGGAUUCUACAUAUUAAAAAGGAAACCUGCAGGCUGCAGUGCAUAUCAUGUGUACACCUUCCAAAAACAUACCCACCAUUCAUGGAACUUAAAUUAUUGGGAUGGGGUGGUGGGGUUUAACAGUUGAGACAAGAAACCUAAAUCUUUUGGUUCUCAAAUUGCUCACUCAAAAAGCAAUUACCACAUCAAAGAGGAUCAAAAGACUAACAUACAUUCCAAAAAAAAAAUGGUUAUCAAACAAGCAACAAAGCAGUAACGCAUCAUUACCUCAGAAGCAAACCAUCAGUCAUGUAUUUAAUCCUUGUUGCAUUAGAUGUCGAAUCAUCAAAUCUGAUGGAGUAUCCAACCUUUUUGCCGAGCUGGUCAUUGCAUUCCUCCGCUACACGCUUUGCUACUGUAACAGCUGCAACUCUGCGAGGCUGAGUGAUGCCAAUGACUUUACCAUCCUUACAAAACCCACCAUCAUACAAAAACUGUGGAAGCUCUGCAUGACCAAAAUAAAGAAAACAUUGCUUCUUCAAACAAUCAAAGUAGAAAAAAAGAUAGGAAAAAUAUUAGUAAUGUAUGUUUCUGCAAUUAAAAAUGAAUACACAGACAAAGUAACAAACUGAUUGUGCAACAUGCUAUUUUUGUCAAACAGUCUGUACAAAGCCUAAGAAUAACUUUCCUAAGCAAGCACUUGGAACGACAUUACAAUGAGAUAACAGCGGGAGUAGUCCAUUUCACUUCUACAAUAGCCCUUUCGUUAAUACUGUAAUAGUGUAAUGUGACUGAAUACAAAUGUUUCCAAACCCACAAACACAAGCAAUCCACAGCACCACUUCCACUAAUUUACACCCAAAAGGGCAAAACAUAUACAUCUAAAUCGGAGCCUAUUCACACUAAUAACAACCAAAAGUUUCAGAAAGCGGCAUGCCUCUAUCAAUUACUUCAUCCAAGCAACAACUGUGAAAAGGGAGAACGCAGAAACAGACUUACGAGUAGUUUUGCCACUCCCAGUCUCACCAACAAUAAUCAGCGUGUCGUUCUUCCUCACCUCCUCAACUAGCCUCUUCUCCACUGAACCAACAACAAACAACAAAUUUCAGCUCCCUGAGCCAACACCCCCAAAAGUAUGACUGCUAACAGACAUCUAAAAGCUCUGCGGGCAAACCUGACGCAAUGGGGAGCGACUUCCGCUGUUGCCGAAUCAGCUGCCUCCAUCCAGGGGCGGACCCAGUGAAGGACAUGGGUGUACACACAAUAAUUUUUUCAAAGCAAUCGAAGUUAGUAGGCAUAUACAUGCAUAUACACCUGUAAUGAGAUUCAGAUCGGAUUACAAAUAGUAUGUUAGGGUUUGGGCUCACGAUUUUUUUACCUAUGAAUUACGUUAAGGUUUAGGCGCACGGUUAAGCACGGCAGGAAGAGAGGAGCAAUGGGAGGGAAUACCUAGUGUCCUGGUGGUGCUCGUCGCCGGGCAAAGUGACCAGUGGCGAAGUAGGACAGCAGCGAUGGUUGCAGGGACACCGGAGGGCGGACGCCGUGCCGCCGUGCCGGAGAUGGUCGCGAGAAUGCUGGGUCCCAGGUGGUGCUCGACCGAGCGCAGUCUUUCUUCUCUCGGGGUUGCGGCGCGGCGGGCGAGACGAGUCCAGGGCUCCAGGCGGUGGGCCAAGGGGCGUUCGGGCAAGGGCAAUUUAGUCCAGCUUACCUCUCUCUCUCAGCUUCCUUUGCUGUCGCAGUGGUGUUGUUACAGCAACUCUAAGAUCUGCUAAAUUUAAUAGUCAAAUUCUAUUGUUUAUUUAUUUUAUAAAAUAGAAAAAAAUUAAAAAUAAAAAGUCCACAACAACCUUACUAUUUUAUAAAAUUAGUGUCAGUGGUUGACUAUAUAUAGCCACCGAAAAUCAAGGGAUAACCAAUUUUCUAUUUUACAAAACCAAAUAACAUAUAUGUUGGAGUCUACUUUUUACUAAACAAAUUCUAAAAUAGUCUCCAUAAUAAGAAUAGUCAAGCUUUUGGAGUUGCUCUUAAUAAAUAUAUAAAACAGGAACAUAUUUCUAGUGUUUAGAAAACUCUGAGAAGAUUGUAGUAGCUUAGAGCAUCUCCAAGAGACUAGGUAAAAUUAUAUUUUAAAAUACAAGAUUUAGCCAUUUUGUAAAAUAAAAACUCAUUCAAAUCAUAGAGUUCCACAACAAACAUUGUAUAAGAUAGCUAGUGAGGACGACAUACUAUAUAUGACAAGCGAAAGUUUAGGGAUAGCAAACUUGCUAUUUUAGCAAACCAGAUAGCACAACUGUUAGACUUUGAUUUUUGCUUUAAAAAUAUAAAAAUAGCCUAGAUAAUAUGGAUAGCAUAUCUGUUGGAGUUGCUCUUAGACAUGUUCAUUGGAGUCUGCCAUAAAAAUUUUGGAUAAAAAUUAUAAGCACUUUAACCUAUACACAAAUGACAAACAACAGGGUAUAAAUGCACAUGAAAAUACUAUGAAAAGUGUCAAACAAUAUAUCUCAGAUUUUUCUUGCCUACUUCUUAGCACCAGAGCAGUGUACAGAAAAUACUAAGCAUAUAUGACACAUAUUUUAUUUACUACAAAUUUCACAAGAGACAAACAUUUAAUCCACUUAAUUCAUAAAGUCAUUUUCUUACACAGUCAUACCACGAGAUAUAUUUUUCAUAGCAUCGACAUGACAUAACGAGACCAACAAAAUAAGAACCACAUUUUUUCUGAUAACUCUACAAUUCGAUAUGCAUUUUACAGUAUAUCAAGCAUUUAAUAAAUUAAAUAAACAUCUGUAUAAAAGUAUAGCAAAAAUGGCACUUUAUAUUUUUAACAUGUAGAUCUACUCAAGAAAAGCACAAUAAAAUUUGUUUCACCAAAUUUGGACAAGUGUAGCUCGAGUUAUGAUUUUUACAAGAUUUUAACUAAUUUUUGAAAAAAAAUCAUUUUCUUUUUCAAGGAAACCCUAAAGGCUACGUGCACCCAGGUCUGUGCAUCCGCAGGGGCUGACAGCUGGGCCCCGGGGUCAACCCGACCCCAUGUGUCAGUCUCAUUGGAGCAGGGGCAGCGCUGACCAGCUGAAUCUCACCGUUGGUGAGAUCUCCGGCGAUGCGGGUCACCACCGAUGUGCUCCUCGCGGGAGGCGAGCUCAACAGCGUAGAAAAUGAGGGCGGAGGCGACCUCUAGCAGCGGCGCUAAGGUGUAAGAAAUGAACCAUUCACCAUUUUGCAUCUUUUAUAUAUGCAUACGUUUAUUUAUGUAAUGUAUUUUCUAAGGCUAAACAAUUUACAGGCUUGCUUAUUUACAUGAAGCCAUAGAACCAAAAGUUGUACACCGUGAGCAUUAUCUUAAUCGAUGAAGAAUUCAAUGGCAAGCUUUUUUUAUUUUGGACUGGCCAAGCUCUCGGGUGCUGGGAAGAGCCAUAUCACAACUCGAGUUAUGGGAACAUUCCUGAGUAUGACUUUUCUCCAAUAAGUGGAACUUGUGGUAUUCACAUGUAGUAGGGAGUUUACAUAUUGAGAGCUUUGUUUUCCAUUUUGUUUUUAAGAAGAAUUAGCUCUGUACAGCUUUGUAUGCAAACAACCAUUCAUCUUUUUUUAUUUUGCUACUGUUUCAGGUAUGUGGCUCCUGAGUAUGCCAAUACAGGUCUGUUAAAUGAGAAGAGCGAUGUCUACAGUUUUGGGGUGCUACUACUGAAAGCAGUGACUGGGAGGGUUCCAGUUGACUAUGGUCGGAUUCAAGAUGGCAGCGGGUACCCGAAACCCGAGUACCCGACGGGUUUUACCCGAUAAAGAGGCGGAUAUGAAAUAAUUUUUCUAUUCGUGGGUAUGUUAUUGGGCAAAAUUAUAUACCCAUCGGGUAUGGCGGGUACAGAUGUGGGUGUUUACUACCAUACCCGUCUACCCGCGGGUAAAAAAUACCCGUCAAAAUAACUAGCCAUCCUUGUCAUUUUAGCCUAUAUAGCACAUGAAUUUGGUCUAAAUACAAUUAAACUCUCCUAAUAUAUAUGUAUAUGAAUUUGAUGUUGUCAUAUGAAUAUUAGUUUGUAAUUUGUUGGAGGCUUAAUAUGUUUUUCUUUGUGUAAAUAUAUAAUAUUUAUAUGUAAUUCUCGGGUAUACUAGCUGGUGCGGGUUACCGUUGGGUAGAAAUUACCUGUGUGCGGUACAGGUAACCCAACGGGUAAAAUUUAGACUUUGCGGGUGCAGGUACGGGUGGCCACUACCCAUCGGGUACGUAUCCGUUGCCAUCUCUAGGUCGGACUGCUAAUGAGGUGGGCAUCUACUAUUGUUGCAUGCAUAUAUGCAGAUGCAGAAGCAAGAAGUCCAAUACUAGUUGCCGUUUGUUUCAAAGCAAAACAGCAUCUGCUUGGUAGGAGGGACAAAUAUAUAUGCUUUAGGUGUAUGCAUAUCCUGGGCUUACGGCAAUAGUACUUUGAUUUAAAUCUAUGCUUGAAGCUGUGUCAGGUCUGAAUGUUGAUCAGUCACAACUCACAAGCCCUAUAACAUGGUGGAUGUGCAGGUUCAUCUGGUGAAGUGGCUGAAAAUGAUGGUUGUCAGGGCACUAGAAGAGCGGAGGAGGUAGAGUUGAAACUAGCGACUCGUGCUCUGAGGCCUUGUUUAGUUGGCAAAAAUUUGAGUUUUUGGCUACUGUAGCACUUUCGUUUUUAUUUGACAAACAUUGUUCAAUCAUAGAGUAACUAGACUCAAAAGAUUCAUCUCACAAAUUACAAGUAAACUGUGAAAUUAGUUUUUAUUUUCGUCUAUAUUUAAAGCUCCAUACAUGCGACUAAAGAUUCGAUGUGACGGGGAAUCUUGAAAAUUUUUGCGAACUAAACAAGGCCUCUGAAUUAAGCGCGCACUUCUAGUGGCACUGAGGUGUGUGGACCCAGAUGCCCACUAUGGGUCAGGUUUGUACAUCCUAAGCUUUGUUCCGUUGAUACAACUACUCUGUAAUUCCUUGUGCAGCAGUUCUAAAUCUUGUGCUGUGAAGAAUGUGAUCCUCUCUGAAGGACCGCCGGAGCCGGAGGGGCCACAGCAACAACGCAGACAGCUAGCGAGUCCAGGGCAAGCUCAAGCGAGUUUGAGAUAAGCAGUGAUCAAAGAGAGUCAGGGCCGUCAUCGAGGUUCUAGCCCUAACUCCCAGCGAAAGAGCACAACAGAUCACCAUGGUCCAAGAACUGGGUUUCAGUUCAGUUUGCCGGGUUGUCUCUUACCCAUGCAUCAGCGGGCCGUUUGAAAGGUUGACACUGGCGGUUUUUCACACCGGCGGGGCUUUGGAUGGUACCGGGCAUGGUUGGUACUUGGGCAAUUUGGAUGGUGGGUUGGUAGAGAUAGGAAGGACAUGGAGAUUGCAUUUUGUACUGUAGGUAUUACCUUUCCUUGGUGGAAGCCAGCGUAGAUUGGAUCGAUUCCCUGGAAGAUUGAGACUUGUCGUGGAUCCUAUUCGUGUUCUGUUUGUCCAGCAGCUUGUACAGAAACUUUAUUCUCUGGUUCUUGGUUAGGACUCAUCGGCGACGGCGAGUAGAAAAGAUGAUCGGCUUUUUCCUCAUGUGAUGAGUGUGGGGGAGUUGAUGCUGUUCGUUUAUGUGAAAUUUCUGUAAAUUUUUUAAAGCGGACGGAAGGAAUCACUGGCUUCUAGUGCAAGUGCUGACGCUGGCAGAAAUGAGAGCAGGUUUGCCCUUAGGCCUUGUUUAGUUCCCACAAAAUUUUGCAAAAUUUUUCACAUUCCUCGUCACAUCGAAUCUUUAAACGCAUGCAUGAAGUAUUAAAUAUAAACGAAAAUAAAAACUAAUUGCACAGUUUGGUCGAAAUCGACGAAACGAAUCUUUUGAGCCUAUUAGUCCAUGAUUGGACAAUAUUUGUCAAAUACAAACGAAAGUGCUACAGUGUCGAUUUUGUAAAAUUUUUCGGAACUAAACAAGGCCUAACCGAAACUCCAAUCCGGCCGCCAAUGCCGCACGGCGAAGGCAUGGGCCUGAUUCUUUUACUGGUGGGCCGGCCAAGUAAAAAGACCACUUGGAUUAGGGCCCAUAUGAAGUAGCACCAUUCCGCCAUUUGCGAUCCAUCGUGGAAAUAUCUUGCACCGUGUCGUCUCGUCUCGUCACGUCGCCUCUCACCGCCCCACCCAGCGAGAGCCAGUCCAGUCCCAUCUCGCCUUCCGCUUAAACCCCACCCCCACCCAUCGCACCCAGACCCAGGCGAGAAGAAGCCCUCGCCAAUUCGUCCCCCAUGGCCGCCACCGCCGCCAUCCACCUGCGCCCGCUCCGCUCCGUCGCCGUCUCCUCCGCGAGGUCCCGCUCGCUCCUCCACCUCCUCGCCCGCCCCCUCUCUUCUUCCCAAUCGGGAUCGUCCUACGCCUACCGCCCUUUCCCUUCCCAGGCCGCCGCCCCCGCCGCCGCCCCCAACCACGUCCACCACCCUCCCCACCACCACCAGCAGGAGCACUGGGUGCCGCCGAGGAACCCGCCUCCCCCGGGGCCCCCUCCACAGUGGUCCUCGCAGGGACAUCCGCCUCCGCCGCCCCGCGGCUAUGGGCCUCCACCGCCGCAGCACCAGCAUGUGCCGCCUCCGCCACCACGCGGCUACGGACCUCCACCACCAGGACAGCAUAUGCCGCCCCCGCCGCCACGCGGAUACGGGCCUCCACCACCGGGACAGCAUAUGCCGCCGCCUCCGCCUCCGCCGCCACAUGGUCACGGGCCUCCACCACCGGGCCAGCACGUGCCGCCUCCACCGCCGCACGGCCACGGGCCUCCACUACCGGGCCAGCAUAUGCCGCCGCCACACGGCCACGGGCCUCCACCACCAGGACAGCACAUGCCGCCUCCGCCGCCACGCCACCACGGACCUCCGCCACCGGGACAGCAUGUGCCGCCGCCGCCACCACCACACGGCCACGGACCUCCGCCACCGGGACAGCAUGUGCCACCGCCUCCGCCACCACACGGCCACGGACCUCCGCCACCGGGACAGCAUGUGCCGCCUCCACGCGGCCACGGGCCUCCACCCCCGCACCAGCAGGCACCACCUCCACCGCCGCCUCCUGAACCUGUGGCAGGUCCCGGGGAGCUGAUGGGACUGUGCCGGGAGGGGCGGGUGAAGGACGCCGUGGAGCUUC